UUCAGACCCAACUUGCUUGCAUUCUUGCUUGUACAGACAAUUGUGUCCCUCAGUCUAUUUACAGCCCAAGAAAGCCAGACCAGCCCAAAUCCAAAUCCAGUGUUAAAGAGUUUAGAUGCACAGAAUGGAACCCUCCCGGAACCCUCCCACAAGCUACUUUACAUGCUACGGAGAAAAGAACUGCAAGGCCAGUCCCAGCAAUGCCAGCAGAGAAUUUGGUCAAUAGCGCGGGAAGUUCAGGGCCGGAUUUCUUUAAUGACAGGAUUGCUGUUUUGCCAUGCUGCUUGUCCAUCAUCAAGGAGAGAAGGCUCUCACAUGCAUGGAAGUAGUUCCUUUUGUAGAGAUCCCUCCCCCUGCCAACUUUCCUGCCAUUCUUCUUCUUUGAUGAUGGCUUGAGCUUGAUU
rnacentral:misc_RNA from 1 species